AUUCUGCCCAUGCGGGGAAGGAUGAGAAGCUUCGACUAAGGUUCAGCUCGAGCGUCAGCGAGAGAGCGUUGCCGCAGGCAACGACCCGAAGGGCGAAGCGCGCAGCGCUGAGUAAUCCUUCCCCCACCACCA
rnacentral:sRNA from 1 species